AACGAACGCUGGCGGCAGGCUUAACACAUGCAAGUCGAGCGCCUCAGCAAUGGGGAGCGGCAGACGGGUGAGUAACGCGUGGGAAUCUACCCAUCUCUACGGAACAACUGCGGGAAACUG
rnacentral:rRNA from 1 species